rnacentral:rRNA from 1 species
UACGUAGGCAGCAAGCGUUGUUCGGAAUUACUGGGCGUAAAGAGUGUGUAGGCGGUGUUCUAAGUUUGUCGUGAAAUCUCCCGGCUUAACUGGGAGGGUGCGGCGAAAACUGGAAUGCUAGAGGAUGGGAGAGGUAAGCGGAAUUCCUGGUGUAGCGGUGAAAUGCGUAGAUAUCAGGAGGAACACCUGUGGUGUAGACAGCUUACUGGACCAUUUCUGACGCUGAGACACGAAAGCGUGGGGAGCAAACAGG